AGCGAACGCUGGCGGCAGGCCUAACACAUGCAAGUCGAACGGAUCCUUCGGGAUUAGUGGCGGACGGGUGAGUAACACGUGGGAACGUGCCCUUUGGUUCGGAACAACUCAGGGAGACUUGAGCUAAUACCGGAUGUGCCCUUCGGGGGAAAGAUUUAUCGCCAUUGGAGCGGCCCGCGUCUGAUUAGCUAGUUGGUGAGGUAACGGCCCACCAAGGCGACGAUCAGUAGCUGGUCUGAGAGGAUGAUCAGCCACACUGGGACUGAGACACGGCCCAGACUCCUACGGGAGGCAGCAGUGGGGAAUCUUGCGCAAUGGGCGAAAGCCUGACGCAGCCAUGCCGCGUGAAUGAUGAAGGUCUUAGGAUUGUAAAAUUCUUUCAGCGGGGACGAUAAUGACGGUACCCGCAGAAGAAGCUCCGGCUAACUUCGUG
rnacentral:rRNA from 1 species